rnacentral:tRNA from 2 species
CGCGGAGUGGAGCAGUCUGGUAGCUCGUCGGGCUCAUAACCCGAAGGUCGUUGGUUCGAAUCCGGCCUCCGCAA